AUCAAUAAGCGGAGGAAAAGAAACCAACAGGGAUUGCCUUAGUAGCGGCGAGUGAAGCGGCAAAAGCUCAAAUUUGAAAUCUGGCACCUUCGGUGUCCGAGUUGUAAUUUGAAGAUUGUAACCUUGGGGUUGGCUCUUGUCUAUGUUUCUUGGAACAGGACGUCACAGAGGGUGAGAAUCCCGUGCGAUGAGAUGCCCAAUCCUAUGUAAGGUGCUUUCGAAGAGUCGAGUUGUUUGGGAAUGCAGCUCUAAGUGGGUGGUAAAUUCCAUCUAAAGCUAAAUAUUGGCGAGAGACCGAUAGCGAACAAGUACAGUGAUGGAAAGAUGAAAAGAACUUUGAAAAGAGAGUGAAAAAGUACGUGAAAUUGUUGAAAGGGAAGGGUUUGAGAUCAGACUCGAUAUUUUGUGAGCCUUGCCUUCGUGGCGGGGUGACCCGCAGCUUAUCGGGCCAGCAUCGGUUUGGGCGGUAGGAUAAUGGCGUAGGAAUGUGACUUUGCUUCGGUGAAGUGUUAUAGCCUGCGUUGAUGCUGCCUGCCUAGACCGAGGACUGCGAUUUUAUCAAGGAUGCUGGCAUAAUGAUCCCAAACCGCCCGU
rnacentral:rRNA from 1 species